AUGAAGGGUAUUCUCUGUUUAGUAGGAAUACAUUAGUCUUGAAGAGAUGAAUCCUAGAUAGUGUUCCCUUCAUCAAGCAUCUUGU
rnacentral:pre_miRNA from 1 species